CCCUUAGAUGUUCUGGGCCGCACGCGCGCUACACUGACGAAGUCAGCGAGCAUGUCCUACGCCGACAGGUGCGGGGAAUCUUGUCAAACUUCGUCGUGAUGGGGAUUGAUUAUUGAAAUUCUUGAUCAUCAACGAGGAAUUCCUAGUAAGCGCAAGUCAGCAGCUUGCGUUGAUUACGUCCCUGCCCUUUGUACACACCGCCCGUCGCUACUACCGAUUGAAUGGUUUAGUGAGAUCUUCGGAUUGGCGCCACUGCGGAUCAGCAAUGGGCUCGGUGGAUGCCGAAAAGUUGAUCAAACUUGAUCAUUUAGAGGAAGUAAAAGUCGUAACA
rnacentral:rRNA from 1 species